rnacentral:rRNA from 1 species
AAAUUGAAGAGUUUGAUCAUGGCUCAGAUUGAACGCUGGCGGCAGGCCUAACACAUGCAAGUCGAACGGUAACAGGAAGCAGCUUGCUGCUUCGCUGACGAGUGGCGGACGGGUGAGUAAUGUCUGGGAAACUGCCUGAUGGAGGGGGAUAACUACUGGAAACGGUGGCUAAUACCGCAUAACGUCGCAAGACCAAAGAGGGGGACCUUCGGGCCUCUUGCCAUCAGAUGUGCCCAGAUGGGAUUAGCUUGUUGGUGAGGUAACGGCUCACCAAGGCGACGAUCCCUAGCUGGUCUGAGAGGAUGACCAGCCACACUGGAACUGAGACACGGUCCAGACUCCUACGGGAGGCAGCAGUGGGGAAUAUUGCACAAUGGGCGCAAGCCUGAUGCAGCCAUGCCGCGUGUAUGAAGAAGGCCUUCGGGUUGUAAAGUACUUUCAGCGGGGAGGAAGGUGUUGCGGUUAAUAACCGCAGCAAUUGACGUUACCCGCAGAAGAAGCACCGGCUAACUCCGUGCCAGCAGCCGCGGUAAUACGGAGGGUGCAAGCGUUAAUCGGAAUUACUGGGCGUAAAGCGCACGCAGGCGGUCUGUCAAGUCGGAUGUG